CAGUCACAAAAACGCACUUGUGCCUAAGAAACUGAACGAUACUUCCCAACUCCAUUAAUGGUGAAAACACAAAGGUGUAUAUAUAUAUAUAUAUAUGAUAUAUGUAUUAUGUGUGUAUGUGUAAAUCAAACCUGAUGAGAAACAUAGUGGUUUAAGUAAAAUCUAAAGCUGUGCCAUCUCUUAUAUACUGAAGACACAGGAGAGCUUAAUACAAAUAUAUAUCAAGUAGAAUGCACGCAAGUGAGAGUGGGCUGUAUUGAAGGCUGAUUCAAAAUUGACAGUAAUCCUACAUCAACUUUGCAGGAAGUUUGAGUUCAACUAAGCUCUCUUCUCCAACAAAAGUGGUAUCAAAGCCAAAUUUGUUUGUUAUUGGGCAUACAGUUCAUGGUAACUGACGACAAUGGAAUAAGCAUUAAUCAACCAUCAAUUCCAAUUUUCAAAGGCAAAAACUACAAAUUUUGGAGCAUCAAAAUGAAGACUUUAUCCAAGUCUCAAGAUUUAUGGGACUUAGUUAAGAAUAGGUAUUCUGAUCCGGAUGAAGAAGCCAGGUUUUGAGAAAAUUAAAAAACAGAUUCCAAAGCACUAUUUUUCAUCUAGCAAGCAAAGCAUGAAUCCAUUUUUUCUAAAAUUGCAGCAGCAAAUACAGCCAAAGAAGCAUGGACGACUUUGCAGGUAGCAUACCAAGGCUUGUCGAAGGAGUUCUAAUUGAUGAGACAGUCGUUGCAAAGGUAUUGCGGAGUUUGAUUCCAAAAUUUGACCAUGUAGUUGCAGCUAUAGGAGAGUCAAAAGACCUGACCACGUACUCAUUUGAUGAACUAAUAGGAUCCUUGCAAACUCAUGAGGCAAGAUUGAACAAGACAACUGAAAAGAGUGAUGAAAAGGCCUUUCAAGUGAUGGAGGAGUCAUCAGAGUAGCAAGAUGAUUCAAGAAAGGCAUCAAACAGAGGACAUGGCAGAGGACAUUGUGGUAGAGGAAGAAAUGGUGGACGGUAUGAACAAGGGCAGACGACUUACAAGCAGAAAAAUCACAAUAGCAAUAAUCAAUGUUACAAUUGCAAGAGGUAUAGACAUGUAAAGGCUGAAUGUUGGAGAAAAGAAAUACUUGAAAUUGUUCAUAAGAUGAUGAAAUGGUUAAACUAUUCCUGGCAUAUAAAGAUAAUACUGCAACUUCAAGUGAUAUAUGGUUUCUGAACAGCGGAUGUUCCAAUCAUAUGAUUUGAAUAAAAUAUUUGUUUAAGAAAUUUGACGAGUCAUACAAGAUAAAAAUAAGACUUCUUGAUGAUAAGCAAGUGAAGUUGAAGGCAAAGGCACAGUGGCAAUAAACAAAGGCAGCGGUAAUGUAAAACUCCUCCACAAUGUUUAUUUUAUCCUCAAUUAAUCACAAAAUUUGUCUGAGUGUUGGGCAACUUAUAGAUAGUGGACAUUUUAUUAUGUUUGAUAACAAGUCAUGUGGGAUUAAAGAUGAAAAAUCAGAUCAAGUUAUUGUUAAUGUAUACAUGGCACCAAAUAAACUUUUUUCACUUGAGGUGUCUAGUUUUUAAAAUCAUGCCCUUGUUGUUAGCAAAGGUAGUGAGUCUAGAUUGUAGCAUUUAUAUUCUGGGCAUUUGAAUGUAAACGGUUUGAGAUUGUUAAGUCAAAAGAAAAAUGUAUUUGGGCUAUCUAGAAUUGAGUCGUUUGAUUUAUGUAAAGGGUGUAUAUAUGGAAAACAAUGUAAAAAACCAUUUCUUAUGGGAAAAUCUAGAAGGGCAUUUGAGUGUCUUGAACUUUAGUAUGCUGAUUUAUGCGGUCUUAUGAAAACACAAUUGUUGGGUGGGAGUCGCUACUUUUUGUCAUUUAUAGAUGACUAUAGUCGUAUGAGUUAGGUCUACUUUCUUCAAUUCAAGUCAGGGACUUUUGAAACUUUCAAAAAAUUCAAGGCACUCACUUAGAAGAAAAGUGGAAGAAGUAUGAAGGUACUUCGCACCAAUAGAAGAAGAGAGUUAGUAUCUCAUAAAUUUAACCAAUUUCGUGAAGAACAAGGUUUGCAAAUAGAACUAACAGCAACAUAUACACAAGAGCAAAACAAAGUGGCUGAGCAAAAAAAUCGUAUCAUAGUCGAAAUGACGAGAAGUUUGUUGACAGCAAAAGGGCUGCCAAAUUAUUUUUAGGCUUAAGGUGUUGUUAUUGCUAUGUAUUUAUUAAAUAUGUCUCCAAUAAAGAUAGUUCAAAACUAAACACCAUUCGAAACUUGGAGUGGUAGAAGACCGGGUAAGUCACUUGAAAAUAUUUGUUUGUAUUGACUAUUGUUUGGUAGAUUUAUAAUCACAGCAAACUUGACUAUGAAUCUGUGAUAUGUAUUUUUGUUGGCUACGAUACUCAAUCUAAAACAUAUAAGCUUUAUAAUCCUAUGACUGGUAAGGUGAUUAUUAGCAGGAAUGUUAAAUUGGACGAAGCUAGCUGGAGUUGGCAUGAGAAAUCAGAUGACAUUCAAUUCAAAAUAUCAAUAGAAAAUGAAGCUCCACCAACUGUUGGACAGCAGCCAAUUCCUCCAAAUAUACCUAGCUCAUCUUCAUCAACUUCAUCAAGUUCUAGAAAUAAAGUUCAUCCGAAGAUGAAACUCCUUCCAGAAAAUUCAGGUCAUUGGCCGAAAUUUAUGAGUGCACACAAGCCUUUGGUCAGGUGUUGAUCCGACAACCUCUGAAGAAGCAGUAAAAAAGGAAAAAUGGAAAAAUGCAAUAAAAGAGGAACUUGCAGCAAUCUGGAAGAAUAAUACUUGGGAAUUGAUGGAUCUUCCUAAAGACAAGAAAGCCAUCGGAGUUAAAUGGAUCUUGAGAACAAAAUGUCAAGCAGAUGGCAGCAUACAAAGACAUAAAGUGCGACUUAAGGCAUAUUACAGUCUAACAUUCAUCAAAAUACAUAGUUGAUGAAGAAAACAACUAUCAGUAAACACUGAGACAGAUCUAGUGUGUGAGUCGAGAAUCUGAAAAAACAGAAGAUAUUUUUUUUAUUUAUACAUGGAACUAA